rnacentral:rRNA from 1 species
AUGCACGCUGGCGGCGUGCCUAAUCCAUGCAAGUCGCGCGAACAGACGAGGAGCUUGCUCCUCUGACGUUAGCGGCGGACGGGUGAGUAACACGUGGAUAACCUACCUAUAAGACUGGGAUAACUUCGGGAAACCGGAGCUAAUACCGGAUAAUAUAUUGAACCGCAUGGUUCAAUAGUGAAAGACGGUUUUGCUGUCACUUAUAGAUGGAUCCGCGCCGCAUUAGCUAGUUGGUAAGGUAACGGCUUACCAAGGCGACGAUGCGUAGCCGACCUGAGAGGGUGAUCGGCCACACUGGAACUGAGACACGGUCCAGACUCCUACGGGAGGCAGCAGUAGGGAAUCUUCCGCAAUGGGCGAAAGCCUGACGGAGCAACGCCGCGUGAGUGAUGAAGGUCUUCGGAUCGUAAAACUCUGUUAUUAGGGAAGAACAAAUGUGUAAGUAACUAUGCACGUCUUGACGGUACCUAAUCAGAAAGCCACGGCUAACUACGUG